rnacentral:rRNA from 1 species
GACGAACGCUGGCGGCGUGCCUAAUACAUGCAAGUCGAACGCUUCUUCCCUCCCGAGUGCUUGCACUCAAUUGGAAAGAGGAGUGGCGGACGGGUGAGUAACACGUGGGUAACCUACCCAUGAGAGGGGGAUAACACUUGGAAACAGGUGCUAAUACCGCAAAAAAGUUUAUGCCGCAUGGUAUAAGAGUGAAACGCGCUUUCGGGUGUCGCGGAUGGAGGGAGGCGCGGUGCAUUAGCUAGUUGGUGAGGUAUCGGCUCACCAAGGCCACGAUGCAUAGCCGACCUAAGAGGGUGAUCGGCCACACUGGGACUGAGACACGGCCCAGACUCCUACGGGAGGCAGCAGUAGGGAAUCUUCGGCAAUGGACGGAAGUCUGACCGAGUAACGCCGCGUGAAUGAAGAAGGUUUUCGGAUCGUAAAACUCUGUUGUUAGAGAAGAACAAGGACGUUAGUAACUGAACGUCCCCUGACGGUAUCUAACCAGAAAGCCACGGCUAACUACGUGCCAGCCGCCGCGGUAA